GAUGAACGCUGGCGGCGUGCCUAAUACAUGCAAGUCGAGCGAACAGACGAGGAGCUUGCUCCUCUGACGUUAGCGGCGGACGGGUGAGUAACACGUGGAUAACCUACCUAUAAGACUGGGAUAACUUCGGGAAACCGGAGCUAAUACCGGAUAAUAUAUUGAACCGCAUGGUUCAAUAGUGAAAGACGGUUUUGCUGUCACUUAUAGAUGGAUCCGCGCCGCAUUAGCUAGUUGGUAAGGUAACGGCUUACCAAGGCAACGAUGCGUAGCCGACCUGAGAGGGGGGUCGGCCCCCCGGGACCUGGGCCACGUUCCCGCCCCCGACGGGGGGCAGCGGUGGGGAUUCUUCCGCAAGGGGGGAAAGCCUGCCGGAGCAACCCCGCGGGGGUGAGGAAGGUUUUCGGGUCGUAAACCUCUGUUUUUGGGGAAAAAAAAAUUUGAAAGUAACUAUGCCCGUCUUGGCGGUCCCUAAGCAGAAAGCCCCGGCUACCUACGU
rnacentral:rRNA from 1 species